UAUACAUGCAGUCGAGCGAACAGACAAGGAGCUUGCUCCUUUGACGUUAGCGGCGGACGGGUGAGUAACACGUGGGUAACCUACCUAUAAGACUGGGAUAACUUCGGGAAACCGGAGCUAAUACCGGAUAAUAUUUCGAACCGCAUGGUUCGAUAGUGAAAGAUGGUUUUGCUAUCACUUAUAGAUGGACCCGCGCCGUAUUAGCUAGUUGGUAAGGUAACGGCUUACCAAGGCGACGAUACGUAGCCGACCUGAGAGGGUGAUCGGCCACACUGGAACUGAGACACGGUCCAGACUCCUACGGGAGGCAGCAGUAGGGAAUCUUCCGCAAUGGGCGAAAGCCUGACGGAGCAACGCCGCGUGAGUGAUGAAGGUCUUCGGAUCGUAAAACUCUGUUAUUAGGGAAGAACAUACGUGUAAGUAACUAUGCACGUCUUGACGGUACCUAAUCAGAAAGCCACGGCUAACUACGUGCCAGCAGCCGCGGUAAUACGUAGGUGGCAAGCGUUAUCCGGAAUUAUUGGGCGUAAAGCGCGCGUAGGCGGUUUUUUAAGUCUGAUGUGAAAGCCCACGGCUCAACCGUGGAGGGUCAUUGGAAACUGUAAAACUUGAGUGCAGAAGAGGAAAGUGGAAUUCCAUGUGUAGCGGUGAAAUGCGCAGAGAUAUGGAGGAACACCAGUGGCGAAGGCGACUUUCUGGUCUGUAACUGACGCUGAUGUGCGAAAGCGUGGGGAUCAAACAGGAUUAGAUACCCUGGUAGUCCACGCCGUAAACGAUGAGUGCUAAGUGUUAGGGGGUUUCCGCCCCUUAGUGCUGCAGCUAACGCAUUAAGCACUCCGCCUGGGGAGUACGACCGCAAGGUUGAAACUCAAAGGAAUUGACGGGGACCCGCACAAGCGGUGGAGCAUGUGGUUUAAUUCGAAGCAACGCGAAGAACCUUACCAAAUCUUGACAUCCUUUGACAACUCUAGAGAUAGAGCCUUCCCCUUCGGGGGACAAAGUGACAGGUGGUGCAUGGUUGUCGUCAGCUCGUGUCGUGAGAUGUUGGGUUAAGUCCCGCAACGAGCGCAACCCUUAAGCUUAGUUGCCAUCAUUAAGUUGGGCACUCUAAGUUGACUGCCGGUGACAAACCGGAGGAAGGUGGGGAUGACGUCAAAUCAUCAUGCCCCUUAUGAUUUGGGCUACACACGUGCUACAAUGGACAAUACAAAGGGCAGCGAAACCGCGAGGUCAAGCAAAUCCCAUAAAGUUGUUCUCAGUUCGGAUUGUAGUCUGCAACUCGACUACAUGAAGCUGGAAUCGCUAGUAAUCGUAGAUCAGCAUGCUACGGUGAAUACGUUCCCGGGUCUUGUACACACCGCCCGUCACACCACGAGAGUUUGUAACACCCGAAGCCGGUGGAGUAACCAUUGGAGCUAGCCGUCGAAGGGG
rnacentral:rRNA from 1 species